UACAGAGGGUGCAAGCGUUAAUCGGAAUUACUGGGCGUAAAGCGCAUGUAGGUGGAACGAUAAGUUUGAUGUGAAAGCCCUGGGCUUAACCUGGGAAUGGCGUUGAAGACUGUUGUUCUAGAGUUUGACAGAGGGUCGUGGAAUUUCCGGUGUAGCGGUGAAGUGCGUAGAUAUCGGGAGGAACACCUGUGGCGAAAGCGGCGCACUGGACCACAACUGACGCUGAGGCGCGAAAGCUAGGGGAGCAAACAGG
rnacentral:rRNA from 1 species